rnacentral:rRNA from 1 species
CCUACGGGUGGCAGCAGUGGGGAAUAUUGGGCAAUGGGCGCAAGCCUGACCCAGCAACGCCGCGUGAAGGAAGAAGGCUUUCGGGUUGUAAACUUCUUUUAAGAGGGAAGAGCAGAAGACGGUACCUCUUGAAUAAGCCACGGCUAACUACGUGCCAGCAGCCGCGGUAAUACGGAGGUGGCAAGCGUUGUCCGGAUUUACUGGGUGUAAAGGGCGUGUAGCCGGGCUGACAAGUCAGAUGUGAAAUUCCGGGGCUCAACCCCGGACCUGCAUUUGAAACUGGUGGUCUUGAGUAUCGGAGAGGCGGGCGGAAUUCCUAGUGUAGCGGUGAAAUGCGUAGAUAUUAGGAAGAACACCAGUGGCGAAGGCGGCCUGCUGGACGGCAACUGACAGUGAGGCGCGAAAGCGUGGGGAGCAAACAGGAUUAGAUACCCGAGUAGUC